rnacentral:rRNA from 1 species
UACGAAGGGGGCUAGCGUUGCUCGGAAUGACUGGGCGUAAAGGGCGCGUAGGCGGAUGGCACAGUCAGAUGUGAAAUUCCCGGGCUUAACCUGGGGGCUGCAUUUGAUACGUGUGAUCUAGAGUGAGGAAGAGGGUCGUGGAAUUCCCAGUGUAGAGGUGAAAUUCGUAGAUAUUGGGAAGAACACCGGUGGCGAAGGCGGGUCUCUGGGCAGUGGCUGACGCUGAGGCGCGACAGCGUGGGGAGCAAACAGG